CCUACGGGAGGCAGCAGUGGGGGAUAUUGCACAAUGGGGGAAACCCUGAUGCAGCGACGCCGCGUGAGUGAAGAAGUAAUUCGUUAUGUAAAGCUCUAUCAGCAGGGAAGAAAAUGACGGUACCUCCGUAAGAAGCACCGGCUAACUACGUGCCAGCAGCCGCGGUAAUACGUAGGGGGCAAGCGUUAUCCGGAUUUACUGGGUGUAAAGGGAGCGUAGACGGCGGUGCAAGUCUGGAGUGAAAGGCGGGGGCUCAACCCCCGGACUGCUCUGGAAACUGUACGGCUUGAGUGCAGGAGAGGUAAGUGGAAUUCCUAGUGUAGCGGUGAAAUGCGUAGAUAUUAGGAGGAACACCAGUGGCGAAGGCGGCUUACUGGACUGUAACUGACGUUGAGGCUCGAAAGCGUGGGGAGCAAACAGGAUUAGAUACCCUUGUAGUC
rnacentral:rRNA from 1 species